AGAUUGAACGCUGGCGGCGUGCCUAACACAUGCAAGUCGCACGAGAAAGGGACUUCGGUCCUGAGUACAGUGGCGCACGGGUGAGUAACACGUGAAUAAUCUACCUCCGAGUGGGGAAUAACUGAGAGAAAUCUUAGCUAAUACCGCAUAACACUUACGAGUCAAAGCAGCAAUGCGCUUGGAGAGGAGUUCGCGGCAGAUUAGUUAGUUGGCGGGGUAAUGGCCCACCAAGACGAUGAUCUGUA
rnacentral:rRNA from 1 species